rnacentral:lncRNA from 15 species
GGCGGAAACCGAACAAGCAACCAGCACACACCUGAUUCCACAACAGGGCAAGACCGGGGAGGAGUUACCUGCUGCUAUAAGAUCAAACCUCCUCCGCCCCCGAGCACAUUCGAUACACAAAGGCAGCCAUGGCAAACUUCCUCAACCAGCUGGGCAACCAGGGCAUCGCAGAGGUUGUCGGAAAGAAAGCGGGCGAAGUGGUGGAGAACACGGUGAAGAGUGUUCUUGGGAAAAGUGAAGAGAACAAGGAGGAGGGGAAGUCAGGAGGAUUCGAUGCAGGAGACGUCCUCUCACUGGUCGGCGGUAAAAAAGACGACAACAAGGGAGGAUUCGAUGCAGGAGACGUCCUCUCACUGGUCGGCGGUGGCAGUAAGGGAGAAGAAGGAGGAGGCCUGGAUGUGAAGAACGUUGUUGGAGGACUCUUUAAGUAGGAACCCUGCAGACCUCAUCCCGACUUUCAGCUUCAGUCCAUCAAACCUGCAAAAGCUGCAGCGAAAAUGUUGAACAUAAAGUCUUUAAAAAUGAUAUAAAUAUAAACGUGUUUAAUUGUUUAAUUAAAUGUAAAUAACUGAAUUCAUGGCUGGUUGACAAUGUUCAUGUUUUCUUUACUGAACCAUGGAAAGGAAGGGUUCAUCUGAUGACCUCUGUUCAUUAAACAUUAAUAAACUGGGUUAUUAUUAAAGUUAUUGUCAUAAAUUAAAUGUAUUAAAUGCUAAUCGAAUGCAGAUUGUAAUAAAACUAGUUUGACACCAUCUUGUUGUUGUACUCUUCAGAUUUGAUCAAUUCAGAUAAAAUGUGCACUGUAAAAAAAGAACUGUCUUCAUUAAAUGUUUUAGUAAAAGUCAAACUUUUAAGUUUAGAAAUAAAAUAAAAUGUAAUAAUGUUUUAUUGAAGUAAUUAAUUUUUCUUCUGUAGAAAACCUUAUGUGACUUUCAGAAACUGAAAUAUUUGUUCUCAGUGAGUCAAGAACUUGAUUUUUUUUAAUUAUUUGGCUGCUUGAAAAUUAAAUAGCUGCAAUUAAAUAUUAAAAUAUUAGUUUUCUGAGCAGGUUUUAAAAUAUUAAUGAUAAUAAUAAUGAUAAUAAUAUUAAUGGUACUUUACAUUCUUAGAAACAAAAUAUUAUAAUAAAGAAAUUGUCUCAUUAAGGUGACUUUCAACCACCCAAAUAAUAAUAAAAAAUCAAGUUCUUGAAUCACUGAAAACAAUUAAAGGAAAACAGUUUGUAAAACUCAAAGAAGUUUUUCUAAAGAAAAAAAAUGAUCUCAAAUAAAGAUUAUUUAUUAUUAUUAUCAUUAUAAAGAUUACCAUUAGAAGGGUGAAAUAAACCAUUUCCAAAACUUAAAAGUUUUGACUAUUUUUUACAGUGUAUAUGCAUGAGUCAGUACAAGAUGUUAAUUAAUUAAUUAAUUAAUUAAAUGAGAUCAACAGACACGUCUCUGUCUCCUGUUUCAAAUCAUUAAUCUCUGCUGCCUGUUAGCAUCUUACAGAAAUAAAGUUUCAUUUGAUUGAACAAAUAUAUUUAAUUGUGCACGAUGAAGACGAGAGAUGUGAAGAGGUGUGUGGAGGUGGGUGUGGUUUGCACUCAGCUGCAGGAGAGAGAGAGGUGUGGGGAGGGCUUGUGAGAGCAGCACCAGGUGAGUUGGUUGUCUCAGCUGCUAAUCGUUGCCUACUCACUCUACCUUUAUGUUGCAGUAGUGUGCUGGACCCCGGCCCGGGGGUGCUACUGAGAGCGAGAGCCGCAGAGUAGUAGAACUGAUUGUGUGUUGUUUGUGUUGGCAACACCGAGACUAACAACAAAAGUUACAUGAAGCAACUAUCUGGUCUGAGAGUUUGUGUUAAACAACUAUUAUAUGACACAUAUUAAAUGUGUUAAGAGAGAAAUUACUGAAUUUACUUCACACAGACUUUAAUGAAGGAAGAUAACAUAACUGAGCUACAAGGUUCAGCUUAAUGUGAAUAUAAAGAGUUUGAUCACAGUUCAAUAAACACGUUUUAAGGUGGAGGAGCUCUUCUGUUCUACCUGCAGUGGAUUCAUCAUGCAGAACUACACCUGUAGAUAAUUAUAAUAUUAAUAUAUUAUGUCACAGUUGCUGCCGCCCAGUUCUGGAAACUUUAAUCUGACGAGUUUCAUAGUGAGUCACACAUUUUACAGAAAGGGAGGAAAGAAACUCACACACACACACACACACAGAGGCCAUUGUUGUCUUUGUCUCGCUGUAACGUGUCCAACCUGCAGCAUCCUGCAAACACCUGCAGUCAGAACUCAGGGCUUCAGCUGCUCACUGUCACAACAAAGCUUAUAAAGGUGUAAAAUCAGAGUUGCAGUGAGUCCUGCUCAGGUGAGAGCAGGGCGUCCGAGCAGGUGGAACAGGUCGGUCCGGUCUGCAGACACACCUGAUUCCUCGACGGCCAACGGGGAGAGACCUGAGGGAGGGGCGCCGCUCCAGAGAGUCUCACCUCCACCUGCCAGAAAACAGUCUCUCAUCACACACUGACACAGACAGAGCCGCAGACAGACAGAGCCGCAGACAGACAGAGCCGCAGACAGACAGAGCCGCAGACAGACAGAGCCACAGACAGACAGAGCCACAGACAGACAGAGCCACAGACAUGGAUAGAUUUGCACACAUGAUCGGAGAGAAAAUGGGUGAGUAGAGAAAAGGGGGGAGGAAGAAGGAGUCCGGGAGGAGCUGAUUUGUGUUUUUUUAAUGGCGCUGAUUUGCUUACAUCUCCUGGUGUCAGUGUCUCCUCUCUGAGGCGCUUUAUAAUAAUAAUUAUACAAUCUGGGUAAAAAAAGGUUUUAUGAGCCUGAGAGAGUUUCUGGAGACACUGAAGAAGGUUUAAAUGUUUAAAUGUUAGUUUCACUGACUCAUCACAACAGACUCACUGUGUUUGCAGGCCUUUGGCCUUCUGCUGACACACACACACACACACACACACACACACACACACACACAAUUUCAGCAGGAAAGAUCUUCACUUAAGUAUUGUUGAGGUAAUUUGGGCUCAUUUCAAGUUCAUUUAACUUUAACUUUAGUAUUUUUAAGUGAAACGUGUUUCUGUAACUUACAAAAAGGGUUGGUUAGUUAGUUAGUUAGUUAGUUAGUUAGUGCCAUUUAAAAUGAGUGGAGGUAAAAGCAGCGUAACCAACGUCUUUAUUUCUCAAACUCUGUUGUUUUGAGUUCUUGAAUGCUCUCACUUUGUUGUUGUUUAGUAUGAUAGCAUGUUAACACAUCAUUAGUUUUGUAGGAUUAUACUAAUGUAGCUGCCGUUAGCGUUAGCAACUGAACGGGGCUCAGCAGCCUCCCAGUGAACACAACCUCAGAGACAGACAGAGGACAGACAGAGGACAGACAGAGGACAGAUUGAGGACAGCGGUAGCGAGGUGAUUUAUGGAGUUUCCUGAUGGACUUGUUGCUAGAAGAAGCUAACUGUUGCCAACAGUAAUAUUAGAUACUGUUAGCUCGUGCAGCUAACAUUAGCUGACUUAGCCCCUUAGUGGCGGGAACCAAUAGCGGCAUUAAAAUACCCUCAGUGCUUUAUUCGUCAAACCGUCCUCCGUAUACAGGAAAUCCGUCAAUAAGCAAGCAGCUCUGAAACAUGUGAAAGCUGACGGCGUGAUG